CCUACGGGCGGCUGCAGUGAGGAAUAUUUGUCAAUGGGCGGGAGCCUGAACCAGCCAAGUCGCGUGAGGGAAGACGGUCCUACGGAUUGUAAACCUCUUUUGCCGGGGAGCAACGGGGUCCUUGCGAGGGCCCGAUGAGAGUACCCGGAGAAAAAGCAUCGGCUAACUCCGUGCAAGCAGCCGCGGUAAUACGGGGGAUGAGAGCGUUAUCCGGAUUUAUUGGGGUUAGAGGGUUCGUAGGCGGGCUGGUAAGUCAGCGGUCAAAUGUCGGGGCUCAACCCCGGACUGCCGUUGAAACUGGCGGCCUAGAGUAGGCGAGAAGGAUGCGGAAUGCGUGGUGUAGCGGUGAAAUGCAUAGAUAUCACGCAGAACUCUGAUUGCGAAGGCAGCAUACCGGCGCCCGACUGACGCUGAGGCACGAAAGCGAGGGUAGCGAACAGGAUUAGAUACCCCAGUAGUC
rnacentral:rRNA from 1 species